rnacentral:rRNA from 1 species
GUGCCAGCCGCCGCGGUAAUACGUAGGAGGCGAGCGUUGUCCGGAAUUAUUGGGCGUAAAGAGCUCGUAGGCGGUCUGUUGCGUCCGCUGUGAAAACCCAGGGCUUAACCCUGGGCUUGCAGUGGAUACGGGCAGACUAGAGGUAGGUAGGGGAGAAUGGAAUUCCCGGUGUAGCGGUGAAAUGCGCAGAUAUCGGGAGGAACACCGGUGGCGAAGGCGGUUCUCUGGGCCUUACCUGACGCUGAGGAGCGAAAGCGUGGGGAGCGAACAGGAUUAGAAACCCUAGUAGUCC